UCCCGGACUGGGUGGGUAUUCUUCGGCUUAGGACCGAAGAGGAAGGCUCUUUCGGCCGACGAUGGUGCUCUUCCUUCGGCCGGAGU